AAUUAGCCAAGCGAAUCGAACCGAUAUCGGCGGUGCUGGAGUAUCAUCAGACUCUGGACUGUCGAAGUAUGAUUUAGGUAGAGAUGAUUUUGCCAGUGGAGGCCAGUCAGAGAUAACACAGAGGAUACUGCCGUAAUCGCCGAGUAUAGUCAGGUAAUUAAUCGAAUGAAAUGUUAGAGGAUGCACGUCACCGCCUGGAACUGGAGUCUUGGACGAGUCCUUCUGGAUACUCGACUCGAAAUCAGUGAGCAUUGUAAGAAUGGAAUCACUGAGUCGAAUGAGUGAAUUGAGAGCCUGUGAUCGGACGAUGGAGGUUAACUCAAAAGAGAAGAUGGAUUCUAU
rnacentral:misc_RNA from 1 species